rnacentral:tRNA from 1 species
AAAGCUAUUUUCUAAGGGUA